UAGAGUCCAGUUGAUGUCCAU
ensembl:piRNA 21ur-4625 ncRNA